rnacentral:lncRNA from 1 species
ACAGCCCUAGCUGCUGCCACCUCUCGCUCCUCUCCCUCUUCCCUCUCUUUUCCCUCUUCUUCUCCUUCUUCCUUCUCCUUCCUUUCUUCUUCUUCUCUUCUUCCUCUCCUUCUCUUCCAGCUGCAGCUGCCACCGUCGCAGCUCCUCCUUUCCCUUCUCUUCUUCUCCUCUUCUUCUUCCCUCCUCCUCCCCGGCGUCACACACACCCUCACCUCUGUUUCCUCUGUAGGAAACAGAGGUAUCACAACCUCUCC